rnacentral:rRNA from 1 species
AUUGAACGCUGGCGGCAUGCCUUACACAUGCAAGUCGAACGGCAGCACGGGAGCAAUCCUGGUGGCGAGUGGCGAACGGGUGAGUAAUAUAUCGGAACGUGCCCAGUCGUGGGGGAUAACGUAGCGAAAGCUACGCUAAUACCGCAUACGAUCUAAGGAUGAAAGCGGGGGAUCGAAAGACCUCGCGCGAUUGGAGCGGCCGAUAUCAGAUUAGCUAGUUGGUGAGGUAAAGGCUCACCAAGGCGACGAUCUGUAGCUGGUCUGAGAGGACGAACAGCCACACUGGGACUGGGACACGGCCCAGACUCCUACGGGAGGCAGCAGUGGGGAAUUUUGGACAAUGGGCGCAAGCCUGAUCCAGCAAUGCCGCGUGCAGGAUGAAGGCCUUCGGGUUGUAAACUGCUUUUGUACGGAACGAAACGGCGAGCUCUAAUACAGUUUGCUAAUGACGGUACCGUAAGAAUAAGCACCGGCUAACUACGUGCCAGCCGCCGCCGUAA